GUCUGCGCGUCUGCACCGCAUGCCGGGGCCUGGAAGUCAGACUCGGGGGCGGUGCUGCAGCGCCAGCCUGCACUCCUAAGCCCGGGGUCGCUCCGGGCCCCCGAGGGGGUGUGUCUUCUGCCCCUUUAACCUGGCAGGGGCGGUUCAAGUGGCCCUGGAAAUCAGCGAUUUGCAGGGUCAAGUGCUGGUGCCUUGAAAGAGAGGCGGAGCGGAGAGAGGGAUUUCCCGGUCUCUGCUGCUCUCCGUCCAUCCGCUCCCUUAAUCCUUUUCUUGGCCCGCGCGAACCCGCUGUGCGGCAGAGGCGGCCAGGUACCUUUAAGGCCCCGCUGCGCCUGCGCCUGCGCCUGCGCCUUGGGCUCUCUUGACGCGCCCGGCGAGACCCUGAGGAUCCAGCUGGCCGCAGGCUAUGGGCUGGGCGGCGGUUGAGACAGCGGCGAUAUUGGGAGGGGUAGGUGAGGGUCGCGAGGCUGCGUGAGCUUCUGAGUGAACGCGGUGCUUUUGGGAACGCGGGACGGGCGACCUGUGGCGCCAGGAGCGGGCCGAGGCGCGGCGGCGCGGCUGCCGUCUGGAUGGGAAGUUACGGUUUACAGCGAAGUCCACCCAGCGUUUCCGAGGUGAAGGCGCCGCGCCAGGCCGGGCGGGCGGCUGGUGAUGGGCAAGCCGGGUGUACCAAGUCCAUGAUGCACAUGAGGAGCAUUUGUAGCCAUCACUGAAUCACCUCAUGACUAGCGGGACAAGCCUCAAAUUCACCGCAGGAUUUCCGACAAGAUCUCACUCUGUUGCCCAGGCUGGAGUGCAGUGG
rnacentral:lncRNA from 1 species